CAACGGAAUCCCAAAAGCAGCUGUUUUCAGAACAUCACAGCUGCCUUUGGAUUCUGUUACC
rnacentral:pre_miRNA from 1 species